UACGGAGGAUCCAAGCGUUAUCCGGAAUCAUUGGGUUUAAAGGGUCCGUAGGCGGGUUGAUCAGUCAGUGGUGAAAGUCUGCAGCUUAACUGUAGAACUGCCAUUGAUACUGUUGUCCUUGAGUCAUUAUGAAGUGGUUAGAAUGAGUAGUGUAGCGGUGAAAUGCAUAGAUAUUACUCAGAAUACCGAUUGCGAAGGCAGAUCACUAAUAAUUCACUGACGCUGAGGGACGAAAGCGUAGGUAGCGAACAGG
rnacentral:misc_RNA from 1 species